rnacentral:rRNA from 1 species
CUACGGGAGGCAGCAGUUAAGAAUUUUCUGCAAUGCGCGAAAGCGUGACAGAGUGAGCCAGAGUGCUUAUCAAAUGAUAGGCUUUUGCUAAGUGUAAAAAGCUUGGCGAAUAAGGACUGGGUAAGACUAGUGCCAGCCGCCGCGGUAAUACUAGCGGUCCAAGUCGCAGCCACAUUUAUUGGGUCUAAAACAUCCGUAGCUUGCUUAAUAAGUCUCUUGUGAAAUCUGGUGUCUUAAACAUCGGGCGUGCAGGAGAUACUGUUGAGCUAGAGACCGGAAGACGUAAGAAGUACGUUCAUAGUAGCGGUAAAAUGUGUUGAUCAUGAAUGGACUAACAAUAGCGAAGGCAUCUUACGAGGACGGUUCUGACAGUAAGGGAUGAAGGCUAGGGGCGCAAAACGGAUUAGAUACCCCCGUAGUC